rnacentral:lncRNA from 1 species
CCGCAAACUUCUCCUGUUCUUUCCUUCCCCAAGUUACCCUCUUUUGUUCCUCCAGGGUAUUCGCCCAGUCAUUACCUUCUCCUCCAUUAAAUUCGUAUUCCCGCUUUUGUUUUCUACGUGGGGGUAUGAAUCUCGCUUUGAUGGCAAUUCUUCCCCAAACGAAAGAUUUAAAGUGUGUCAAAGUGCAAUAAACAAUUGUCGUUUGUUUUUGGGGUGUCAACGUGUGUUAGAGCAGAGGGCAGGGGUGUAGCUUGGCAGCGCCGCCGAAAGACAUAAACGGAAACAGAUGAGGGCACCUUCUGACGCGCUUUCGCUGCCGUCAUUAAUCGGCGCUCUCGC